UUAGUGGCGGACGGGUGAGUAACACGUGGGAACGUGCCUUUUGGUUCGGAAUAGCUCCUGGAAACGGGUGGUAAUGCCGAAUGUGCCCUUCGGGGGAAAGAUUUAUCGCCAUUAGAGCGGCCCGCGUCUGAUUAGCUAGUUGGUGAGGUAAAGGCUCACCAAGGCUACGAUCAGUAGCUGGUCUGAGAGGAUGACCAGCCACAUUGGGACUGAGACACGGCCCAAACUCCUACGGGAGGCAGCAGUGGGGAAUCUUGCGCAAUGGGCGAAAGCCUGACGCAGCCAUGCCGCGUGAAUGAUGAAGGUCUUAGGAUUGUAAAAUUCUUUCACCGGGGACGAUAAUGACGGUACCCGGAGAAGAAGCCCCGGCUAACUUCGUGCCAGCAGCCGCGGUAAUACGAAGGGGGCUAGCGUUGCUCGGAAUUACUGGGCGUAAAGGGAGCGUAGGCGGACAUUUAAGUCAGGGGUGAAAUCCCAGAGCUCAACUCUGGAACUGCCUUUGAUACUGGAUGUCUUGAGUGUGAGAGAGGUAUGUGGAACUCCGAGUGUAGAGGUGAAAUUCGUAGAUAUUCGGAAGAACACCAGUGGCGAAGGCGACAUACUGGCUCAUUACUGACGCUGAGGCUCGAAAGCGUGGGGAGCAAACAGGAUUAGAUACCCUGGUAGUCCACGCCGU
rnacentral:rRNA from 1 species